GGGAGACCCACCUUGAACGUGGGCAGCCCCAUCCCAUGGGCUGGGGACCCAGACCGAAAAAAGAUUCUCUUGAAAGCAGGGACUUGGCCGUGGUGGUGGCACUCAGCGGGACCCCUUCCUCACGAUCCCCAGGAGAGUUGCCAUGGUAGCGUUCAUCCUGGCCUGGGCGUUCCAGGUCUUGAAUCUUCUGCCGGCGAUCACUGGCAUGGUUCUUUAUUUCCUCCUCAUCCUUAUCUCCAGUCUUGAUGGCAUCAGCAUCGUCCCAUCCAAACUUGACCCCCGUGUGGCCGAUGCCCACAGCCAGCACGCUCUUGCGUUUGGACUUCUGACAGGCCUCAGCAAUGGACAUGUCCACUCGGAGCAAUGGGCCCUGGCCUUCUCCUUCAGCCACCACAGUGGGCCACCAAGGUUUUCAUCAUGGACUGAAGACCAGCAGCCCUUCAGGAAUCACCCAGAACUCCUGAGCUAGACUGGAACUGCAGAGACAUCCAAGCUCACACUUUGAACAACUACCAGGCUCUCUACUUUUCCAUCACGAGACGGCCAUUAUUGGACUACCUGGACCACAGCCAGGCCCUGAUGUGCCAUGGCCCACUCUGCAGGACUGUCAGGUGGCCAACAGUGACAUGCCUAUGACACCUGGUGGGCUCAGCUCAGCUGCCUUAGAACAGACCAACAGACCAGCAAAGUUCAGGCCAAAAAAGACCUGCAAUCGUUCAGCCAAGGCCCAAACAGACAUAAAAACUCUUCCACUGUGGAGAUCAGGGAAGGGAGUUUGAGUACUUCUGGCUCUGUCCUCAUAUGCUUGCUAUGUUCCCAGUGAGCACAGACAUUGCCUACUGCACAGACCAGGGAUAAUGUAAUGAAAUGGUGGGCACAGACCCACCUAGAUGGACUGCUCCAGGGCAUUUCCUGUGGGAGCCCUCACCUUCAGCACCGUGGACAGAGCCUUAACCUCCUGGUUACCAGGACAAACCUGGAACUCUUUAAGAAGGAAUCACAGAGCACCUAUGCAUAUCAGCGGUCAGCUCAGAGGAUGCCUCUCUUGCCAAACAGAUGCCACUACAACAAGUUUAAGCAGCGUGUCCCUCAGCUGUCAGGUUAGCAAGAAGUUAGCAGAGCUGUGCUAUGCUGGAGACCCAGGGAUCAGCCAGUGCCCAAGCCUCAUUGUCAGGCGUACCCAGAACAGCUAUGCUUAGCCUUUCCCUAAAGGCUCACUGUGGUGCUCUACCCUCAUCACUAGACCAGUCCUGGUUGUGGGAGCCUUUCUGGUUGCUCCCCUGGCCACACCCACCUCGGCCCCUAUUGUGACAGCAAGAGGAGGCAGAGGGAGCCUCUUUACAGAAGACAGGUUGAAAAAUCUAUUUCCUCUCUGCCACUGGUGGAAAUAAGAAAGCUGUAUUCGGUCCUGGGCUGAUGUGGCACUGCCUGUCGGCCACAGGGAAGGGAAGCAGAGAAACGGACUGGAAGCUGGACCCAAGUGAAUAUCGAACCACACGGAGCUCCUUAGGAGCAGAGCAAGGUAAAGCAACAGCUGCAGAAGGCUCUCCCGAUAAAAGCAAAACUCCAUCUGUGGGUAGGCGGCAGGUGUCACAAAAGGCGCGUUAAAAAUACACACAGGAGGUCUGUGGACUGGCUGAGUGGAUCAAAGCACUGACUUGCAAGGCUGACGCCACAGGAGUUCAAUCUCAAAAACCCACUGUCAAGGUGAAAGGAGAGAGGACAGACUGCUUAAAUUUGUCUUCUGACCUCCACACAUUUGCUGUGGCAUGCACAUGCGUGUGCACACACACACACUCUCAUACAUACACACACACUUUACUACUACUACUAAUAAUAAUUUAAAAGCUAAGAUGAUCAGACUAAUAUUAGAGAUACAGGAACAAUUGGAAAAAGCUGGGUUAAAAUAAACCAAGAAAAAAAAGAUUGCUAAUGAAAUAAAAUGGCAAAGGAGAAAUUGAAGCAGAAUCUGUACUAGGAGAGCAGCGGUGAGGGGGGAAGGCAGGGAUAUGUGGAGACCUACACAGAAUUUCUAGAAACGGAAAACUGAGCAGGUGUGUUGACAAAAGCCUGCAGUCUUGGGACUUGGGAGGUGGAGGCAGGAGGCUCAAGAGCUGAGAGGUCCAUCUCAGUUACAUAGCAAGUUGGAGGCCAGCCUAGGCUACACGGGACCCCCAUCUCAAAGAAAAGAAUGGGGGGAGGGAGAAAGUGAGUGAGUCUCUUGGGAUGCCUUAUGCAGCAGGCAAGGCACGCCUGAGGAGAGAGCCAGCUCACCAGCCAACACAACCAGUAUGGUUACUCAGGACUAGGAAGACAUAAAAGACAAGACAGGCAGAUGGAGAGGGAUAAGGAGAGCAAGGACAGUCAGUGGUCCAGUUACAAGCUUCAGGAGGAAGUCGGAAUGAGAAAAGCACAAUUAAGCAAUGGUGACUGCAAUCCACCGCGAAGACAAACGGCAGCAGUGGAAGGAAGACUUCAGGCGGUGCUGUCUGGGCACUGGCUGUCCCUGAAGGCAUGAAUGCCUGCCUACAGGCCAUUCCUUCUGUUUAGGGCAAUUGAGGCUGAGUCUCUGCUGUUUGAAACAGAAAGGCCAGAGCGAAGUUCUGUAGAGCAAGGGGGAUUGCACUGGCCACCACUGACCCUCUGCUCCCCGCUAUUUUAAAGCAUGACCAUUUUAUUGGAGGUUGAGAGAAAAAUACAGGACAGGCAAGAUGUAAAUCUUGGCAGCUGCCUGGAAGAGGGAGAGAGAAACCCUUCCCAUCUCUUGAGUUAACACCAACAAUAGAAGUCAGCAAGCAGCUCUAUGUGGGGUCCAUACAGCUUUCAGAAAAACAAACAAACAAACAAAAAACAAGAAAGCUCAGAGUGUAAGGGCUGGGCACACUUAGGAUUUUGCCCAAAGAUUAGAAAAAAAGGGUAAAGGUGACUAGUUAUGUUUCUGAGUUAGACUCUGCGCUAACUUGAAGUCUCAAGAUGGUGUGGAAGAGUUAUCCUGCCGCUCAGCUGCUACGAGCUUGCCUUUCCACCAUCAACUUUGCGUAUUCAUCGUUGCUCACAAGCAUCCCCUGGCUUUGGAGCCUGAGUUCUUGAGUGAAGCCAGAGAUGCCAAGGAAUUCACAGCCACCAGGGCUGUCCCGGAUGAACAAUGGAUCAGUGGUGUUAUACCGAACCCAGCUCCCUCGUCCUUUGAGCGUGGUACAUCCCUGGCCUUUUCUAGUCUGGUACGGUCUCUCAGUGGCAGAGUGGAUGAUGUAGAUACAGGACCUGCCUUCCCUUCCUCGCACACUGUCUGCUUUGUCUGCUGAGGGGCCUUGAUUGUCCAGAUAAACAAGCAAUCCUGGCUUCAGCCUCAGCAUGUGGGGAAACUGAUACGGACAGAAUGUGGCCCUGUGCCUUUGGUUUUUACACUUGGAGCUCCAUCUCUGUCACCCAAUAAGGCCCAUUCUCAUACUCAGACCUCCUUCCGGAAUCUCAGGCAACUCAUUUGAUUUUUUUCUUCCACCCAAGCUUAAAAAUAAGCAAGGCUCGUAUCCUAGAUUUUCAGAAAGGAAGCUAUGAAUGACACACACAGGAGUGUCUGCCUUGUGAGAUAAAAUGCUGUGCAUUGUGGCUGCCUUUCAUCUGGAAUUAAUUUUUCUUCCCCCACCUGGACAGAGAAGGACGUUAAUAUAAACCAAGUCUUGCUCGAAGGACCGAUAGUGGGACUGAAACUUCAGUCUGGUCAGGGCCAAUUCCAUCAGCUCUGUCUUGUGAUUGAGAUCUGGUCCUGCUAUCAUCUCAUUACAGCAAGGCUGGAAGCCUCCCUGGAGAAUCCAACACACGUCUCCCAAGACGAUAAAUGCCAAGUGACUUCAAAUAACACGUGGCCACCAGUGAUUUAGGCCCUGCUUCUUUAGAGAGCCAUCCUUGCAAACUGAAGAUGCUCUAUCUAUGAGUCUCCUGCAUCUGGCCUGGGCAUGCAAUUACUGCUGGUUGAUGAAGACAGAUGGGUCAUGUUGGAUGUGGAUAGUGGUUUUUAAUCCUAUAUCCUAGAGGCUAUGCUGCCUGUCCAUUCCAAUCCAUGUUCCAUUUUAGCAAAGAGUUUCCAUAUUUUUGACUUUUUUUCUUGUUCUUUUGACCCUCAUCUUUUUUCUAACAUGAAGAUCCGAGGUUGAUAUUAAGUGUCUUCUUCAGUGACUCUCCACCUUGAUACAGGGUCUGACUUAACCAGCAACCCUCUGGAAUCCUAUUGUCUCCACCUCUCCACAACUGGGCUGCAAGCGUGUAACAAUUUUUUACUCUCAUUUACAAACCGUUACACACUGUCAAUUCCUGCCUUCAGGGAGAAGGGCGGAGGAGCCAUCACUGCAGACUGGACAAGGCUGGAAGGCACUUCCAGUCUCUCUAGUUGAUGUUCGGGACCAAAGUGAGGUAGCAACUGUCUACUGUGCUGGACAGGAUGGCUUGUUUGUUUUUUUGCUUUUGUUU